UCUAUCUAUUAUAUGAAAACACAGUUUGUGGCAAUUUAGAAAAUAAAAUAACAUACAAAGGGCAAAUCUAUAUAUCUAUUACACCGCUAAAUCUUCUCUUUCUUAUUCAGUUUUUCCACGCCGCAUUAUACCAAGUUUCCAUCGUAUUUUUAUCCCUUCUGCAUUCCAUAACCACCAUGUUUCUUGAAUGAACAACCCACGCCAAUUAGCAAAUAACUGCAGCAACCCACUACUAAAAAGUGGUAACAAACUGCUACAAACAAAACAUCCGGAUUGACAAUUUAUAAAUACCAAAUCACAUUCAUUUACCAUUUCAUACUUCUCUAACUUAUUUUAGGAAAAAUUACACAAUGAGCGAUAUGCCCCAUGGAGGAGCCACGGAGGCAGAGUGGCAGACUUCAGUGUUGCAGUUGCUGAUGUAGAAGGCAGGAAUGAGCGAUAGGCAAGAGAGAUGCGAUGCUAUGAUCAAGAAGGUGUCUUCUGGGAAGAAGCAUGAAAAAUGGUUGGAGGGUGGUGGCCGGAAGCUGCAGUUUGCUUCUUUUCUUAUUAAUGUUUACUAGCACGAAGGACACGAAGUUGAAGAAGAGGGAAUGAAAGAGCAAUUAAUGGGAAAAAGACAAUGUGCAUUACUGGAAAAUAGUUAGAGAAUCAUCUAUGUAUUUCGUAAUUUUUAAAUCUUUUGCAAGUCCAUAUUUUGGACGCGUGGAAAAUUGUUGACAUUUUUUCGAUAUCUCUAAUGAGAAAUAGAUUAAAUA